rnacentral:rRNA from 1 species
AAUAUUCGACAAUGGGCGUGAGCCUGAUCCCGCCAUGCCGCGUGUGUGAAGAAGGUCUUCGGAUUGUAAAGUACUUUACUUUGGGAGGAAGGGCAGUUCACGAAUACUCAACUGUUUUGACGUUACCAAAAGAAUAAGCACCGGCUAACCUCGUGCCAGGUGCCGCGGUAAUACGAAGGGUGCAAGCGUUAAGCGGAAUUACUGGGCGUAAAGGGGGCGGAGGUGGUUCGUUAAGUUGGAAGUGAAAGCCCCGGGCUCAACCUGGGAAUUGCUUUCAAAACUGGCGAGCUAGAGUACGGUAGAGGGUGGUGGAAUUUCCUGUGUAGCGGUGAAAUGCGUAGAUAUAGGAAGGAACAUCAGUGGCGAAGGCGACCACCUGGACUGAUACUGACACUGAGGUGCGAAAGCGUGGGAAGCAAACAGG